AUUGAACGCUGGCGGCAUGCCUUACACAUGCAAGUCGAACGGUAACAGGUCUUUCGGGAUGCUGACGAGUGGCGAACGGGUGAGUAAUACAUCGGAACGUGCCUAGUAGUGGGGGAUAACUACUCGAAAGAGUGGCUAAUACCGCAUGAGAUCUAUGGAUGAAAGCAGGGGACCUUCGGGCCUUGUGCUACUAGAGCGGCCGAUGGCAGAUUAGGUAGUUGGUGGGAUAAAAGCUUACCAAGCCUACGAUCUGUAGCUGGUCUGAGAGGACGAUCAGCCACACUGGGACUGAGACGCGGCCCAGACUCCUACGGGAGGCAGCAGUGGGGAAUUUUGGACAAUGGGCGCAAGCCUGAUCCAGCAAUGCCGCGUGCAGGAUGAAGGCCUUCGGGUUGUAAACUGCUUUUGUACGGAACGAAAAGUCUUGGGUUAAUACCCUGGGAUCAUGACGGUACCGUAAGAAUAAGCACCGGCUAACUACGUGCCAGCCGCCGCCGUAAUAC
rnacentral:rRNA from 1 species